AAUUAGAAAAAUGUCAACCACCUGUGAGCACCCAUUUAAAAACGCAGAAAGCAAAACAGUGUGAAACACUGAGACUGCAGGACUAACAUGGCUUCAAAGACAGUUUCAGAUUAUACGGAGGAUACAGUGACUGUGGAUGCUGUUUCAGAUGGCAAACAGCAAGAGAAUAAUAUGGAAGACCGACUGGGAACUCUGUCUGAGAAGAUAAAUCUGUGCAACACAGUCCUGAAUGACUUGAAGGACCUGACUGAUGUUCUAAAAAGAAAAUCUCUUCAAGAUGUGUCCUUGCCCCUGCAGAAGUGAACCAAAGAUUGUGAACCCCAUUUUCCUACUUGGUGUAAUUAAAUAUCUUUCAAGGCA